GCCUAUUGGGCCAACACUCGAGACUCGGGGCGGGUAUCGGAUGACCCAUUUUGUUCCACAACUCCGCCACAUCAAUUCACUGGCCGUCGUGAAACCUCCAUUGAAAUGCUCGUGAGUGAGCUCAGAAGAACCAUAGAAGAAGAAGAAGGCUUAACAAAUGUCUGCCAUAUUCAGAUACAAAUCAAAGCUCCAUUCUUUCACCUUCAGAACAUCUCUUUUUUCCAUAUCGUCUUCCAAAUUUCAUUCCUCUACUUCUUCCUCUUCUCUCAAACCUAGAAGAAAACCCUCGCUCUUCUUCAACCCACUUGAAGGUUCUAGAGUAGGGCUAGUGUUUAGGUUCGAGGGUUCUAGACUAGGGUUAGGGUUUAGGCAUAAAUGGGAGGGAAGUUCCGACAACUACGAUCACAUAAAAUCAGAGGUGAACUGCCCACGCUGUUCGAAGAUGAUGACAGUGUUAUUCUCUAACAGGCCGUUGUCGAUCACCGCCGGGGAGACUGGUAUUUACCAGGCGGUGAAUUUAUGUCCUCAUUGCCGGACAGCGUUUUACUUUAGACCGUUUAAGUUGGAGCCUUUGCAAGGGACUUUCAUUGAGAUUGGGAGGGUUAAGGGAGGUGAAAAGGAGAGUGACGAUGAAAUGGCUGGGAGUUCUGGGAAGAAUGAUGGCAAGAUUUGGGAAAAGUUGAGGUCUUAUAGUGGGACCAAUGGUAGUGAUGAUGGUGGACAGGGUACUUGUGAAACUGAAAUGAAGGAUUCGGAGGCGAGAAAGGAAGAAGGGUGGGGAGGUACUAAUUUGGGGAUUGAGUUGCUUACACCAAAGGAGAUAUGUAAAGGCCUUGAUCAGUUUGUUGUUGGGCAAGAGAGAGCCAAGAAGGUGCUUUCUGUUGCAGUUUACAACCAUUAUAAAAGAAUAUACCACUCCUCUUUGAAUAAAAAGUCAGAUUCUCGUAAAGUUAGAGAUGAGCUGGAAAAUAUUGAUAAUGAUUCGGUCGAAUUAGAGAAGAGCAAUGUUUUGCUGAUGGGCCCCACUGGCUCAGGGAAAACAUUACUUGCCAAGACACUUGCUCGUCUCAUCAAUGUCCCUUUUGUAAUUGCGGACGCAACAACUUUAACACAGGCUGGUUAUGUUGGAGAGGAUGUGGAAUCCGUAUUAUACAAAUUACUCGAGGCUGCUGACUUCAAUAUCGAAGCAGCUCAGCAAGGGAUUGUCUACAUUGACGAAGUUGAUAAAAUAACCAAAAAGGCUGAGAGCCUGAACAUUGGCAGAGAUGUAUCUGGGGAGGGCGUCCAACAGGCGCUGCUGAAGAUGCUUGAAGGAACAAUCGUAAGUGUACCUGACAAUAGAGCACGGAAGCAUCCACGUGGCGAUACUAUUCAGAUAGAUACUAAAGAUAUCCUUUUUAUCUGUGGUGGAGCUUUUGUUGGUUUAGAGAAGACAAUUUCAGAAAGACGACAAGAUUCUUCAAUCGGAUUUGGAGCACCUGUUCGUACUAACAUGAGAGCUGGUGGUCUAACUGAUGCUGUAGUCACAUCAUCACUUUUGGAAUCUGUAGAAAGUGAUGAUCUCACUUCAUAUGGACUCAUACCUGAAUUUGUGGGACGGUUUCCAGUUUUAGUGAGUUUAUCUUCCCUUGAUGUGGAUCAGCUUGUUCAGGUUCUCACCGAACCCAAAAAUGCUCUUUGCAAGCAAUACAAGCAAAUGUUCAACUUGAAUAAUGUCAAAUUACAGUUUACCGGGAAUGCACUUCGACUUGUUGCUGAGAAAGCCAUUGCCAAAAACACUGGUGCACGUGGCUUAAGAUCUAUACUAGAAAGUAUACUGACUGAAGCCAUGUUUGAGGUUCCUGGAAGCAAGCCAGGCGAGGAAUCUGUAGAGGUUGUCUUGGUUGAUGAAGAGGCUGUCGGAACAGCUGAUACAAUUGGAUGUGGAGCAAAAAUUCUUUGUGGUAGCAGUGGGCUGGAGAAUAUCUCCCCUACUACUGGAUCUUCAAUGACAAUGGAAAAGAAAGAAGCAACCAAAGAAGACUUGGACUCAGAGUCUGAGGCUCCGGCAAGAGCCUUGAGUUUGUGAUCUCAGUGGCUCUUCCCCCGGAUACCCGAUCGAAUCCAUUUUGACUUCCAGGACGAUGCUAAAAACUAUGCAGUUCCGUUUUCAUUCCUAUUUGAUGCAACACGAUUGGUUAGUUUGAAUUGGAAACAGUGUUAAGGAGGGAUUCUAUGUUGUAAUUGUAUGGGUUGUAAAUGUUUGUGAAAUCUGCAAUGGUGAAGUACUUGAUUAGAUCAAAUAGAUGUCUGGGUUCUUCAUGUAAGCUUUCUCUUCUUCUUUUUUCUUGAUGGAUUUUCGUACUGCUAUUUCAAAAUUCUCUUAUGCCUACUGUAUUUUAAUUGUGUCUUAGGUUCUUUAGGGCUUUAUGUUGGAGAAUCUGACUUCUUGAUGUUUCUUGAUUGGAAUUCAUCAGUAAUUGAUAUUGUUUUGGUUUUGGUCUGUUAUGUUCUGAAUUUACAAUGUUUAUGUGAAUUUUUAACAAGAUUGUACUAUGUCUUUUCUUUAGUGAAGAAUGUAUGGUACCUACAGUUGUCUGAUGGAUGUUUUAACUACUUUUAGGCUUUUCUCUAGGGUUGUAACUGAUUGUGGAAUCUUUAAUGGUGAAGUACUUGGAUCAAAGAGAUUACUGGGUUCUUUGUUGCUUUUUUUUCCCCUUUAAAAUUUACCAAGAGUUGAAUGCCUGCUUCUAUAAGAUUGGAUGGUAUUAUUUAUUUUUAAUAAUCAGUGUGUGUUGUCUUUGUCUUCAAGUAAGCUUCCUCUCUUCUUCUUCAUUUUUUGAUGGAUUUUCUUACUGCUAUUUCAAGAUUUUCUUAUGAUAUCUACUGUAUAUUGUCUUAGGUUCUUUAGGGAUUUAUAUAAAGAAUUUGACUUCUUGAUGUUUCUUGAUUGGCAUUCAACAAUGUAAUUGAUAUUCUUUUGCUUUAGUAGUUUAUUAUGUUCAAGUAUUUACAAUGUCUAUGCGAAUUUUCCACUUUGAUGGUUGUUUUCUUCUUUGGCGAUGCCUAUGCCUAAUUCUAGUGCUAAUAUGCAAGAGGAGUUUCAGGGGUACUAUUUUCAGUGUUUUAGCAUCAGAAGGGACCAUGUUCAUUAUGGCCUUUGCAACUGGAGCAUGGAAGAUGGAACAAUUUGCAUUCCGAUUCUGACAUUGUCCAAUAGUUUGGUCGACAGCUAUCAUCUUGCUUCACCUAAAUCUGUUGUAAUUUCUCAUCCUAAGCACCAUUUAAUUAUUAAAAUGCUGGUCAAAGCACUAAAAACAUAUGGUAUAGAAAAAACUUUGUAUUCAUUUUAGCAGAUUGCUUUUGGUUCAAGGUGAAUGAGUAGUAGAAAAUCCUCGAGUUCUUUGAUAAGUAAUCCUUGCAAACAUUUGUAUACAAAUACUUCUUAAUGUAGCAUAUAUUGCAGAUGAUCUGUGGUAACUAUGCGUAUAGUUAUACUUAUCUUUUAUAAUUAUUGGCAGAUCUAGUUUCAAAAAAGAAAAGUUUCAAAAAUUAUUGGCAGAUCUGAUUUUCUGCAGUGAUCCUCCUUUUUCAUAAUGACAGCACUAGUUUAGGCCUAGGCUAUUUCACUGGUGAAUCUGUUUUGCUUUACUUAUUACAGAAGUCAGAAACAGUAAGCAUAAGAAGAAAAGUUGAAAGCAAACUGAAGUAGUGUGUUUUGGAAGAACAGAGUAGAUUUAAUUGUUUUGGUCACUGAUAGUACGGGAGGCUCUUAGUAUUCAUCAAUAACUGAUAGUACUGAUGUCAAGUCAGAUUCCGGUAAAGUUAGAGAUGAGCUAUGAAAUAUUGAUAAUAAUUGGGUCGAAUUAGUGGAGAGCAAUGUUUUACUGAUGGUCCCCACUGACUCAGAUAUGAUAUCUGAUUUCUAGUUUGAGGAAUUAGCCCCUCAUUCCUAAUUUCUUUUUGAUGCAUCAAUGAAAUUUCAUUUUGUAUUGAAGAUUGGGUGCCAGUUUGUAGAGCACCAUAUUAUGUUGUACUUUCUGUACUUUGCAUUUAGUACUGGUUUAUGGAAAUUUUUUCCAUUAUUAACAAAUUACAACCUUAUUAGAAGAAAUGGUAUCUACUUCAUCUAUCCAUAAGAAUCUUAGUGUCAAUAGACUUAUUUGGUUGUUGUGUUCUAACUAGUGUUUCUGUGAAUGAAAGCCUAUGAAAGUACUUGCAAAAAUGCUAGCUCAUCUCAUCAAUGUUCCUUUUGUACUUUGGACGCAACAACUAUAACACAGGAAGGUAUGCAAUAAUGUUUCACUUCGAGUUGAUUCAGUGCUAUUUCAUUUUCCGUCUUUUCCUGAUAUAGUUCUAAGUUGUGUAGAUUUUCACUUAUGAAGAACUCAACAAUAACAAAUAAAAUAUGAUCGAACUCAUGCCUUAGUCUGCUCCGAUUCUUCUACCUUUCAGAAAAGGGGGGGGGGGUGUUCUUUAGGACAACAUACUUCGAAAUUGUUCGUUAGGUCCUACCCCACUUAAUACCAGACUCUUGUUUGCACCGAGAUUUGAACUUUUGGUGUCGCCAAACCCACACAUCACACAUUGUACUCUUACCACUAGACUGAAGUCCCCAGGGGCUAACUCGUUGAAGUAACAAAAUGAUUGAGUUUUACAUGAUAGGACUAAUCUGACAUAACACAUAAGAAGAAUACAUGAUGAGUAAUAUUGCUUUCUCUCUAUAUUGAAUCAUUCGUUUGUGGGGAAAAAAAGAGACUUCCUAUUUUUUGUUUCUAAAAUAUCAAGCAGGUAGGUGUUCAACUGCUGUACCAAAAUUUAUCUGCUUGUUCUCUCACGAAUUAUCUCGUUAAUUACUUUGAACUGGGGCAAUACUUUGUUUACAAGUCAAAGAGGGUUUUAUUAACUGUAGCUUCAAGUGUGUGCUUGGAGUAUCCAGUAUAAAGCAAAAACUUAACUCACUUAUUUCAUUUUUUAGAGGAAGUAAGAUGUUGUCAUUGAUAUUUGGCGACUGGAAGGUGACAAAUUACAAAAGCAAAAGCCAGUAGGCUUUUGAAGCAAAAGAAACCCUGUUAGCCCCUAUUACUAUAGAGCUAUUCUAGUACCAUGGAGUGAACUGAAAAACUUCUGCAUCUCCCGUACAACUACGUUUUUGCUCCAAAAAGCUAAUCAAGAUACAUCUGUUUUUUCGUCUGAAAUGUUCUCUUGUUUUCUCAAAAUAUCGCAGAUUCUUUCUAUCCACCAUAUGGUUUUUGGUAUGGAGUUUAAAGGGGCAUUGCAGCUUUGUGAAUGCCUCUCUGUUCCAAUAUAACAGUAGCUCUUUUUUGGGAUUCAGAGUGCACCAAUUCACUUCUAGUAUAUCAGAAAGAUCGACCAUUGCUAAGACGUAACUUUACAAUGGACAAAGGUUGCAUUGAGUAGUUUCUGUGGAGAAGCAGAUUUACUUCCUAUUUCAAAACAAUCAAUCAGGGCUGGUGCCAUCCGCGCUUCUUCUGACUAUUGAAAGUGGAAGUUGGACCGACCCCAUCAUCUCCACCCCGUAGUAACUACGAGAUCACCCGUGGAGGGGCACAUUUAAUCCUUGUUUAUCUAUUUGUUCUCACAGGACUCAAGAAUGUUCUUUGCUGGCAAUACAAGCAAAUGUUCAACUUGAAUAAUGAGAAAAAGACAGAAAUGAAAAAGAAGAAGCCAUUCUUUACUCCAUUCUGAUGCACUGGAUCAAAAUCAGUCAAUUUGCCUCGAAUGUUUGUUAAGAUGUUACAGGUCAAUUACAGUUUACCAAGAAUGCACUUUGACUUAUUGCCGUUGCCAAAAGCACUGGUGCACAAGGCUUAAGAUCUAUACUAGAAAGUAUUCUGACUGAAGCCGUGUUUGAGGUUUCUGGAAGUAAGCCAGGCAAGGAAUUUAUAGAGGUUGUCUUGGUUGAUGAAGAGGCUGUUGGAACAGUUGAUACAGUUGGAUGUGGAGCAUAUUUUCUUCGUGAUAGCAGUGAGCUGGAGAAUAUUUCCCCUCCUGAUCAACAAUGACAAUGGAGAAGAAGGAAGCAAGAAAAAAAGACUUGGACUCGUGGAGAUAGAUGGUAUUUGGAUAUGUUGGACACGGCAUUCUCCAAUCAUAAUAGAACAUCAACGUUCCUCUGAGGUGACUAAUCAAAUCGUUGGUCAUGAUACUAAUGUUUAUUCAUGAAAAUAAUUUGCUCAGAGCAUCAACCUUUAACUUUUCAAUACCAAGGAAUAAGUGCAUGAGCUGAGUCCACAUUUGGUUAAUAAUAAUCUUUUCCCAUUUAACGAGAUAUAUAAACUAAUCAUGUCAAUGGCAAGGAAUAAAUUGAAGUACUUGCACAGAGAACAAAAGCCAGUUGUUUAGCAUUUCUCAUGGAUGCAGUUUUUUGUACAAUAGCUGUUUUCAAGUAAUUAGUCGCUUGAGAGUCAGAAUGGACCUUGGUUGGUUCAUCGAGAUACAUAGUGACAAGUGUACCUGACAAUAGAGCACAGAAGCAUCCAAGUGGUGCUAUUAUUCAGAAUCAAUUUGAUUAACUUGGGGGUGGAGAACAAAUCUCUACUGGAAAAGAUUGAUUGGCCAAAGAAAAUCAGAUGUCACACACUAACCUAUUCAACAAAAAGGAAACAAGACUUCUUCAGCUAAACUACACAUUUUGGGAGUGGAAAGUAGAGUCAAAUACUGGUUUAUAGGCCUUGAAGCAAUCAUCUAUGAAUGAUAUAGUCACUAAAAGCUAUCCUUUUUAUCUGUGGUGGAGGCUGGAGCUUUUGUUGGUUUAGAGAAAACCAUUUCAGAAAGGUUCAUGGAAGCAAGCCAAGCGAGGAAUUUUUAGAGGUUGUCUUUGUUGAUGAAGAAGAGGCUGUCGGAACAGUUGAUAUAGUUGGAUGUGGAGCAAAAGUUCUUCGUGGCAGCAGCGGGUUGGAGAAUAUUUCCCGUCCUACUGGAUCAACAAUGACAAUGGUUUCUCCUUCCAGAGAUAAGCAUUUUAAGACAACUUGCCAUCAACAUGUCACGUUAUAUAUCUGAGUAUCUGCAGCGCUAGUCCCUACCAAUUGUAGAAAUGUUUAUCUCGGAUUGACCGUAGUAAUCUAGAAACAUAAUUCAAGCAAUGUCUGGUCCAGUGCAAGCAUUAAAUUAUAUGCUAAUGCAUGGUUUACUUGGCUUCACAAUGGGUUCCUUAUGGAGGUAUGUUGUUAGUUUGUUAUGUCUCUUCAUAUCUGAAUGCUUAUUCGUCAAGUCUGAAUCGCUAAAGCAGAUGUAAUACCUGAGUAUGCAGUGUAAUCGAGAUGACAAAACAUCUAACGGAGCAGAAAAUUAUUUCAUUUUCAUUUUAGAAAA